GACGAACGCUGGCGGCGUGCUUAACACAUGCAAGUCGAACGGAAAGGCCCUGCUUUUGUGGGGUGCUCGAGUGGCGAACGGGUGAGUAACACGUGAGUAACCUGCCCUUGACUUUGGGAUAACUUCAGGAAACUGGGGCUAAUACCGGAUAGGAGCUCCUGCUGCAUGGUGGGGGUUGGAAAGUUUCGGCGGUUGGGGAUGGACUCGCGGCUUAUCAGCUUGUUGGUGGGGUAGUGGCUUACCAAGGCUUUGACGGGUAGCCGGCCUGAGAGGGUGACCGGACACAUUGGGACUGAGAUAGGGCCAAGCGGCCAGCGGCAGGCAUCAGUGGGGAGUCGUGACCAGUGGGCGGAGGCCGGAUGCAGCAACCCCGCGUGCGGGAGGACGGCGUUCGGGGGGGAAAAAGGUUGCGCCGGGGACCAAGCGGGAGGGAGGGUAAUUGGUAAAGAAGCACCGGCUAACUACGGG
rnacentral:rRNA from 1 species